rnacentral:rRNA from 1 species
UACGGGGGGAGCAAGCGUUGUUCGGAUUUACUGGGCGUAAAGGGCGCGUAGGCGGCUCGUGACAAGUCACUUGUGAAAUCUCCGGGCUUAACUCGGAACGGUCAAGUGAUACUGUCGGACUAGAGUACAGAAGGGGCAACUGGAAUUCUCGGUGUAGCGGUGAAAUGCGUAGAUAUCGAGAGGAACACCUGCGGCGAAGGCGGGUUGCUGGGCUGAUACUGACGCUGGAGGCGCGAAAGCCAGGGGAGCGAACGGG